AUUGAACGCUGGCGGCAUGCUUUACACAUGCAAGUCGAACGGCAACAGGUUAAGCUGACGAGUGGCGAACGGGUGAGUAAUGCAUCGGAACGUGCCCGGUCGUGGGGGAUAACGCAGCGAAAGCUGCGCUAAUACCGCAUACGAUCUGAGGAUGAAAGCGGGGGACCGUAAGGCCUCGCGCGAUCGGAGCGGCCGGUGUCGGAUUAGGUAGUUGGUGGGGUAAAGGCCGACCAAGCCGACGAGCUGUAGCUGGUCUGAGAGGACGACCAGCCACAAUGGGACUGAGACACGGCCCAGACUCCUACGGGAGGCAGCAGUGGGGAAUUUUGGACAAUGGGCGCAAGCCUGAUCCAGCAAUGCCGCGUGCAGGAAGAAGGCCUUCGGGUUGUAAACUGCUUUUGUACGGAGCGAAAAGGCUCUCUCUAAUACAGGGGGUUCAUGACGGUACCGUAAGAAUAAGCACCGGCUAACUACGUGCCAGCCGCCGCAGUAA
rnacentral:rRNA from 1 species